AGUGAACGCUGGCGGUAGGCCUAACACAUGCAAGUCGAACGGCAGCACAGUAAGAGCUUGCUCUUACGGGUGGCGAGUGGCGGACGGGUGAGGAAUACAUCGGAAUCUACUUUUUCGUGGGGGAUAACGUAGGGAAACUUACGCUAAUACCGCAUACGACCUACGGGUGAAAGCAGGGGAUCUUCGGACCUUGCGCGAUUGAAUGAGCCGAUGUCGGAUUAGCUAGUUGGCGGGGUAAAGGCCCACCAAGGCGACGAUCCGUAGCUGGUCUGAGAGGAUGAUCAGCCACACUGGAACUGAGACACGGUCCAGACUCCUACGGGAGGCAGCAGUGGGGAAUAUUGGACAAUGGGCGCAAGCCUGAUCCAGCCAUACCGCGUGGGUGAAGAAGGCCUUCGGGUUGUAAAGCCCUUUUGUUGGGAAAGAAAAGCAGCAGGUUAAUACCCCGCCGUUCUGACGGUACCCAAAGAAUAAGCACCGGCUAACUUC
rnacentral:rRNA from 1 species